AGGUAGGUCACCGUGCGGGCUGUGGCGCCGGGCACGGGACAGGCCGGCCUCACCGCGCCUAGGCCCGGGCGGCCAGCCAGACCGAAGUCCAUGUGCCUGACACUUGGCCAAAACUGAAAACAUCAGAGUUUGGAGUAAAGAAAUGUUUACUGAUUAAGAAGGCACCAAAGAAGAAGAUGGGAGACCUUGUGGUGCUUCAAUUCCAUCUUGCUCAUUGGAUCAGGCCAAUGGUUUUUAAGGGGCUUGGAGGAACAGGUAUGCAGAAAUUCUGGUGGAGUAAGUUUUAAUUGGAGGACCUCGGAACUUGACCAUUGAUGGUAAAGGGGCAUCAACACUGGACCUUCCUGGACAAUGGACCAUCGGCUUCUGAAAGGGUUCUGGUGUUCAAGUUCCAGUUAUGCCCUGGUUCUUUGGUUCCAUGAGUUAGGGGACAAGACUUUGGUCCCAGGUGCAGCUGGAGGCUAAAGUUCUCUCCUCUGCACAUGCCCUGGAUGCACGACUUACAGCCUUGGUCUGCAGUCUCUGAAAAGCAACUCAGUAUCUCCUUAAACAGGAUAGGACCAUUUUGAGCUUGUUCUGCAGUUACAUUUGUGUUUGCAAUGUUUUCUCUUUGGAUUUUGACAUUUUGGCUAUGAUAUAUCUGGAUAUUAGUCUCUUUGCAUUUAUCCUAGUUGGAGUUCAUUAAGCUUCUUGAACAUAUGGAUUAAAGUUCAUUAAUGAAA